GGAAUUCAGCGUGUGCGGAGGGUCCGGGAAUCGGGCCGGGGAUCUUCGGACCCCGCCCAGCUCUCGACUGGGCCCGACGCCGCGUGCACUUUCCGCGGGCAGAGCGCCACGACCGGUUUCGCGGCGGCGAUAAGCCCGUUGCGGAUGCGUGGCACGAUCUCACGGUCGUGCUACGGCCGCUCGCGGUGAGCCGCUGUCGGGACCGAGGGACGGCCGCGUGCUUCGAGGCUGCCCGGCCUCGCUGGGGAGUUCGACUGGCAGGGACUGGGUAACCGUGCCUGCCGACUGCUCCCCGGUGCCGGUUCGGGACAGCCGGGCGCGUC
rnacentral:rRNA from 1 species